rnacentral:rRNA from 1 species
AGAGUUUGAUCCUGGCUCAGGACAAACGCUGGCGGCGUGCGUAACACAUGCAAGUCGGACGGGGCGAUGAGCGGGUCGUGAGACCGGUUCAUGGUCGAGUGGCGGACGGGUGAGUAACACGUGGAUAACCUGCCCUGGUGUGGGGGAUACCCUGUAGAAAUACGGGCUAAGACCGCAUAUGGUCGUGUUGGGGAGGCCUG